rnacentral:rRNA from 1 species
UACGUAGGGGGCGAGCGUUGUCCGGAUUCAUUGGGCGUAAAGAGCUCGUAGGCGGUUCGGUAAGUCAGGUGUGCAAACUCCAGGCUCAACUUGGAGACGCCACCUGAUACUGUCGUGACUAGAGUCCGGUAGGGGAGCAUGGAAUUCCUGGUGUAGCGGUGAAAUGCGCAGAUAUCAGGAGGAACACCAGCGGCGAAGGCGGUGCUCUGGGCCGGAACUGACGCUGAGGAGCGAAAGCGUGGGGAGCGAACAGG